GGGUGAGUAACACGUAGGUAACCUGCCCCGGAGCGGGGGAUAACAUUUGGAAACAGAUGCUAAUACCGCAUAACAACAAAAGCUGCAUGGCUUUUGUUUGAAAGAUGGCUUUGGCUAUCACUCUGGGAUGGACCUGCGGUGCAUUAGCUAGUUGGUAAGGUAACGGCUUACCAAGGCGAUGAUGCAUAGCCGAGUUGAGAGACUGAUCGGCCACAAUGGAACUGAGACACGGUCCAUACUCCUACGGGAGGCAGCAGUAGGGAAUCUUCCACAAUGGGCGCAAGCCUGAUGGAGCAACACCGCGUGAGUGAAGAAGGGUUUCGGCUCGUAAAGCUCUGUUGUUGGAGAGGAACGUGCGUGAGAGUAACUGUUCACGCAGUGACGGUAUCCAACCAGAAAGUCACGGCUAACUACGUGCCAGCAGCCGCGGUAAUACGUAGGUGGCAAGCGUUAUCCGGAUUUAUUGGGCGUAAAGCGAGCGCAGGCGGUUGCUUAGGUCUGAUGUGAAAGCCUUCGGCUUAACCGAAGAAGUGCAUCGGAAACCGGGCGACUUGAGUGCAGAAGAGGACAGUGGAACUCCAUGUGUAGCGGUGGAAUGCGUAGAUAUAUGAAAGAACACCAGUGGCGAAGGCGGCUGUCUGGUCUGCAACUGACGCUGAGGCUCGAAAGCAUGGGUAGCGAACAGGAUUAGAUACCCUGGUAGUCCAUGCCGUAAACGAU
rnacentral:rRNA from 1 species